UUAAUAUUACUAAUAAAAUUAGUAAAAAAAUAAAUGGUGGCACAAAAUCGGAGGCCCCGACUGUUUACUAAAAACACAACACAGUGCAAUCAUUAAUGUGAUAGUAUACUGUGUGAAAUUUGCCCAAUGCCAUUAAUAUAAAAGCGGUCAUAUCAAAAUGUGACUAAUUGAAAAUCUGGUUAAUAGCGGUCUUAACCAUGAGGAUCCUAAGGUAGCAAAAUAAAUUGGCCAUUAAAUGUGGUCCGGUAUCAAUAAUGUAACGAUGGCCUCACUGUCUCUACAACUUGCUCAGUGAAAUUGAAUUACGCGUGCAGAUGCGCGUUACCUCCAGUGGGACGGGAAGACCCUAU
rnacentral:rRNA from 1 species